GAUGAACGCUGGCGGCGUGCCUAAUACAUGCAAGUCGAGCGAACAGACGAGGAGCUUGCUCCUCUGACGUUAGCGGCGGACGGGUGAGUAACACGUGGAUAACCUACCUAUAAGACUGGGAUAACUUCGGGAAACCGGAGCUAAUACCGGAUAAUAUAUUGAACCGCAUGGUUCAAUAGUGAAAGACGGUUUUGCUGUCACUUAUAGAUGGAUCCGCGCCGCAUUAGCUAGUUGGUAAGGUAACGGCUUACCAAGGCGACGAUGCGUAGCCGACCUGAGAGGGUGAUCGGCCACACUGGAACUGAGACACGGUCCAGACUCCUACGGGAGGCAGCAGUAGGGAAUCUUCCGCAAUGGGCGAAAGCUCGACGGAGCAACGCCGCGUGAGUGAUGAAGGUCUUCGGAUCGUAAAACUCUGUUAUUAGGGAAGAACAAAUGUGUAAGUAACUAUGCACGUCUUGACGGUACCUAAUCAGAAAGCCACGGCUAACUACGUG
rnacentral:rRNA from 1 species